GGCAAUGCGGCGGUCUACCAUGCAAGUCGAGCGAGAUCUUCGGAUCUAGCGGCGGACGGGUGAGUAACGCGUGGGAACGUACCCUCUUCUGCGGGAUAGCCACUGGAAACGGUGAGUAAUACCGCAUACGCCCUUCGGGGGAAAGAUUUAUCGGAGGAGGAUCGGCCCGCGUUGGAUUAGGUAGUUGGUGGGGUAAUGGCCUACCAAGCCUACGAUCCAUAGCUGGUUUUAGAGGAUGAUCAGCCACACUGGGACUGAGACACGGCCCAGACUCCUACGGGAGGCAGCAGUGGGGAAUCUUAGACAAUGGGCGCAAGCCUGAUCUAGCCAUGCCGCGUGAGUGACGAAGGCCUUAGGGUCGUAAAGCUCUUUCGCCUGUGAUGAUAAUGACAGUAGCAGGUAAAGAAACCCCGGCUAACUCCGUGCCAGCAGCCGCGGUAAUACGGAGGGGGUUAGCGUUGUUCGGAAUUACUGGGCGUAAAGCGCACGUAGGCGGAUUGGAAAGUAUGGGGUGAAAUCCCAGGGCUCAACCCUGGAACGGCCUCAUAAACUUCCAGUCUGGAGUUCGAGAGAGGUGAGUGGAAUUCCGAGUGUAGAGGUGAAAUUCGUAGAUAUUCGGAGGAACACCAGUGGCGAAGGCGGCUCACUGGCUCGAUACUGACGCUGAGGUGCGAAAGUGUGGGGAGCAAACAGGAUUAGAUACCCUGGUA
rnacentral:rRNA from 1 species